rnacentral:rRNA from 1 species
GAUGAACGCUGGCGGCGUGCUUAAUACAUGCAAGUCGAGCGAACAGACGAGGAGCUUUCUCCUCUGACGUUAGCGGCGGACGGGUGAGUAACACGUGGAUAACCUACCUAUAAGACUGUGAUAACUUCGGGAAACCGGAGCUAAUACCGUAUAAUAUAUUGAACCGCAUGGUUCAAUAAUGAAAGACGGCUUUGCUGUCACUUAUAGAUGGAUCCACGCCGCAUUAUCUAGUUGGUAAGGUAACGGCUUACCAAGGCAACGAUGGGUAGGCGACGUGAGAGGGCGCUGGGCCCCACUGGCGCGGCGACACGUUCGGGCCUCCAACGGGAGGGCACAAUAGGGAAUAUCUCGCACUGGGCGAACGCUUGACGGAGAAACGCCGCGUGAGUUAAAACGGUCUUCGGAUAGAGAACAUCUAUUAUUCGGGAAGAACGAAUGUGUAAGUGACUAUGCACGUCUUGAAGGUACCUAAUAAGAAAGCCACGGCUCACUACGUG